UGAACGCUGGCGGCGUGCUUAACACAUGCAAGUCGAACGAACCUUCGGGUUAGUGGCGGACGGGUGAGUAACGCGUGAGAAUCUGCCCUCAGGAGGGGGAUAACGGUUGGAAACGACCGCUAAUACCCCAUAUGCCUAUUGGUGAAACGAAUUUCGCCUGAGGAUGAGCUCGCGUCUGAUUAGCUAGUUGGUGAGGUAAUGGCUCACCAAGGCUUCGAUCAGUAGCUGGUCUGAGAGGAUGAUCAGCCACACUGGGACUGAGACACGGCCCAGACUCCUACGGGAGGCAGCAGUGGGGAAUUUUCCGCAAUGGGCGAAAGCCUGACGGAGCAACGCCGCGUGAGGGACGAAGGCCUCUGGGCUGUAAACCUCUUUUCUCAAGGAAGAAGAUAUGACGGUACUUGAGGAAUAAGCCACGGCUAAU
rnacentral:rRNA from 1 species